CAGGAAAUAGUUUAUUAAAAUAUUAAUUUUGGAGAUUAAAGUUGGGGGAUUUCCUUUUCUGAU
rnacentral:tRNA from 1 species